rnacentral:rRNA from 1 species
UACGUAGGGGGGCAAGCGUUGUCCGGAAUCAUUGGGCGUAAAGAGCGCGUAGGCGGCCCUGUAAGUCCGCUGUGAAAGUCAAGGGCUCAACCCUUGGAUGCCGGUGGAUACUGCAGGGCUAGAGUCCGGAAGAGGCGAGUGGAAUGCCGAGUGUAGAGGUGAAAUUCGUAGAUAUUCGGCGGAACACCAAUAGCGAAGGCAGCUCGCUGGGACGUUACUGACACUGAGGCGCGAAAGCGUGGGGAGCGAACACGGA